UACAGAGGGUGCAAGCGUUAAUCGGAAUUACUGGGCGUAAAGCGUGCGCAGACGGUUGCGUAAGUCAGAUGUGAAAUCCCCGGGCUCAACCUGGGAAUGGCGAUGGAUACUGGCGAGCUAGAGUGUGUCAGAGGAUGGUGGAAUUCCCGGUGUAGCGGUGAAAUGCGUAGAGAUCGGGAGGAACAUCAGUGGCGAAGGCGGCCAUCUGGGACAACACUGACGCUGAAGCACGAAAGCGUGGGGAGCAAACAGG
rnacentral:rRNA from 1 species